CAACAGCGUAUAUUAAAGUUGUUGCAGUUAAAAAGCUCGUAGUUGGAUUUGUGGCGUACGGUGUGUUCCGGGCACUUGUUGUCUGAGUAACCUGCUGUUGCCAUCCUUGGGUGGAACCUGUGUGGCAUUAGGUUGUCGUGCAGGGGAUGCCCAUCAUUUACUGUGAAAAAAUUAGAGUGUUCAAAGCAGGCUUAUGCCGUUGAAUAUAUUAGCAUGGAAUAAUGAGAUAGGACUUUUUUGCUAUUUUGUUGGUUUGCGCAAAGAGGUAAUGAUUAAUAGGGACAGUUGGGGGUAUUCGUAUUCCAUUGUCAGAGGUGAAAUUCUUGGAUUUUUGGAAGACGAACUACUGCGAAAGCAUUUACCAAGGAUGUUUUCAUUAA
rnacentral:rRNA from 1 species